UACAGAGGUCCCAAGCGUUGUCCGGAUUUAUUGGGCGUAAAGAGCGUGUAGGCGGCCAUUCAGGUCAGCUGUGAAAACUCGAGGCUCAACCUCGAGACGUCGGUUGAAACCGUUUGGCUAGAGUCCGGAAGAGGCGAGUGGAAUUCCUGGUGUAGCGGUGAAAUGCGCAGAUAUCAGGAGGAACACCAAUGGCGAAGGCAGCUCGCUGGGACGGUACUGACGCUGAGACGCGAAAGCGUGGGGAGCAAACAGG
rnacentral:rRNA from 1 species